rnacentral:rRNA from 1 species
GAUGAACGCUGGCGGCGUGCCUAAUACAUGCAAGUCGAGCGAACAGACGAGGAGCUUGCUCCUCUGACGUUAGCGGCGGACGGGUGAGUAACACGUGGAUAACCUACCUAUAAGACUGGGAUAACUUCGGGAAACCGGAGCUAAUACCGGAUAAUAUAUUGAACCGCAUGGUUCAAUAGUGAAAGACGGUUUUGCUGUCACUUAUAGAUGGAUCCGCGCGGCAUUAGCUAGUUGGUAAGGUAACGGCUUACCAAGGCGACGAUGCGUAGCCGACCUGAGAGGGUGAUCGGCCACACUGGAACGGAGACACGGUCCAGACUCCUACGGGAGGCAGCAGUAGGGAAUCUUCCGCAAUGGGCGAAGGCCUGACGGAGCAACGCCGCGUGAGUGAUGAAGGUCUUCGGAUCUUAAAACUCUGUUAUUAGGGAAGAACAAAUGUGUAAGUAACUAUGCACGUCUUGACGGUACCUAAUCAGAAAGCCACGGCUAACUACGUG